GAAAUGCGAUAAGUAAUGCGAAUUGCAGAAUUUAGUGAAUUAUCGAAUCUUUGAACGUAUAUUGCGCCCGCUAGUAUUCUGGCGGGCAUGCCUGUCUGAGCGUUAUUUCAACCCUCGCACCCGGCUCCUGCCGGGCGCGGUGUUGGAGAUUAGCGUGCCGUCUGACGGCGUGCUGGCUCCGAAAUACAGUGGCGACCACGCCGUAGCCUCCUCUGCGCAGUAACGUAACAGCCUCGCAGGCGGAGAGCGGUGCGGUCACGCCGUAAAACCCCCUUAACUUUAUAAGGUUGACCUCAGAUUAGGUAGGAAUACCCGCUGAACUUAA
rnacentral:misc_RNA from 1 species